rnacentral:rRNA from 1 species
AGUGAACGCUGGCGGUAGGCCUAACACAUGCAAGUCGAACGGCAGCACAGUAAGAGCUUGCUCUUACGGGUGGCGAGUGGCGGACGGGUGAGGAAUACAUCGGAAUCUACUUUUUCGUGGGGGAUAGCGUAGGGAAACUUACGCUAAUACCGCAUACGACCUACGGGUGAAAGCAGGGGAUCUUCGGACCUUGCGCGAUUGAAUGAGCCGAUGUCGGAUUAGCUAGUUGGCGGGGUAAAGGCCCACCAAGGCGACGAUCCGUAGCUGGUCUGAGAGGAUGAUCAGCCACACUGGAACUGAGACACGGUCCAGACCCCUACGGGAGGCAGCAGUGGGGAAUAUUGGACAAUGGGCGCAAGCCUGAUCCAGCCAUACCGCGUGGGUGAAGAAGGCCUUCGGGUUGUAAAGCCCUUUUGUUGGGAAAGAAAAGCAGCAGGUUAAUACCCCGCUGUUCUGACGGUACCCAAAGAAUAAGCACCGGCUAACUUCGUG